AGGCCUGUGCCGCGGUGAAGACCCAACGCAGCCAAAAGUAAGAAAUAAAUAAGAAAGGGAAGGACGAGCCCAGCCUGGCGCCUGCUCCUCAGAUGUGUUGUUGAACAGAAAGAAAUGAAUUGAGAUGUAUCUGCUUGCUAAAGGGGAAAUUUACUACCUUCCGAAAAGGAAAACCUCUGCUGCUUUUCUUAAGAUAGAGGCUCCUUUUGGGCGUGUGUAUCGUGUGUGUGCAUUAGUCACUCAGGCGUGUACGACUCCCUGCAACCCCAUGGAUUACAGCCCGCCAGGCUCCUCCGUCCACGGGAUUCUCCAGCAAGGGCUGGUGGAGCAGAGAAAGGGAAGCACAGGCAGGUGCCUGCUCUGACCCCAGGGCUGAUCUCACAGCAGACGCAGUUGCGGGGAGCAGGGAGCCCGCGCUGGGGGCCGAAGGCAGGCGAUACAGCGGCCCUCAGUGGAGCAUCCGGACGGUCUUCAGGCAGGAGACGCUGGCUCGGCCGGUCACCAGCCAUCUGCCCUGCAGGAGAACCUCCUGCAGACGCAGCUCCUCACUCUCCAGGUCACAUCAACCAGGGUUUCCAGACCCCUCCCCAGAGCGCAAGACCACCACUGAGCACAGACUGCUCAGGCAGUGCCUUCUGGGAGCUGGAGCCCGCCGUCGGGUAUGAGAGUCAGUUUCUAUUUAUUUCUACUCUGAAGGACAAACAGAUCCUCCUGGGAAGCAGGUCAUCUCACGGUGAAGGAUCUCUCAGCUACUUCUGCAGAGAGCUAAUGCGUUUCAUCUCUCAGCGGGUCCUGGACCUGCUCCCUUAGCCUGGGGGCAGCAGGAGAGGGGGUGGAGAAGGACAAGGGACCCGUUCCACUGGGACGCUGAGGUCCUGCCUGCAGCGUCAUCGUGGACAAUCACAUCGACCGCCGGCGACGCAGCCGGGAUGAGAUCGAGACGACAAUGCCGCCGGGGUCACUGAGGCUCCCCAGUGAGCCCCUACGUCUGACUUCAGCUCCGAGUUUCAGGACACAGCGGGCCUUCACCCAUACGGCCAGCUGAGAAUCCCCCUUCUCGCUUUGCCCACACCUGAUGACCUGGGACAGUGGGCCUGGGAGAAGGCAAGGGGUGGGAGGAGAGGGGAAGACGGGAGAAUGGCCCAGGGUGGCGGGGCCCUGAGAACAGCCCACCAGCACUGAGGCCCCCGGUCCAGACUGUCCUGGCCCCUCCCUCCCCAGGCCAGUUCUCCUGAGCACCCAGCAGACGCUGGCAGGCUCAGCCCCUGCUCUCCUAUUCCAACUUUACUAAACACG